AUGGAAGGCCCAGUGUCUAUCGCAGAAGGGGCUCUGCUGACCAUCAACUGCUCCUAUACAGCCUCAGGCUACACUGUACUUUUCUGGUAUGUCCAGUACCCCACAGAAGGUCCACAGCUUCUUCUAAAAGCUGUGAAAGCCAAUGAGAAGGGAAGAAGCAAAGGAUUUGAAGCCACAAAUGAUAGAGCAGCCAGCUUCUUCCACUUGGAGAAAGCCUUCGUGCAAGUGUCAGACUCGGGGGUAUACUACUGUGCUGUGAGUGACACAGUGGCAGGAGCUGUAGGGGGAGCUGGGCGCAAACUCUGA